CCUACGGGGGGCAGCAGUGGGGAAUAUUGCACAAUGGGCGAAACCCUGAUGCAGCGACGCAGCGUGAGUGAUGAAGUCUCUCGGUUUGUAAAGCUCUAUCCGCAGGGAAGAAAAUGACGGUACCUGACCAUGAAGCUCCGGCUAAGUACGUGCCAGCAGCCGCGGUAAUACGUAGGGGGCGAGCGUUAUCCGGAUUUACUGGGCGUAAAGGGAUCGUAGGCGGCUUUGCAAGUCCGGAGUGAAAGUCCAAGGCUAAACCAUAAUACUGCAUUUGAAACUGUGGAGCUUGAGUGCGGGAGAGGCAGGCGGAAUUCCUGGUGUAGCGGUGAAAUGCGUAGAUAUUAGGAGGAACACCGGCGGCGAAGGCGGCUUGCUGGACUGUAACUGACGUUGAGGCUCGAAAGCGUGGGGAGCAAACAGGAUUAGAUACCCCUGUAGUC
rnacentral:rRNA from 1 species